CAAAUCAGACUUCAGUAAACCCCAACACGCAUGCGCUGCUCCUACUAGGACGUUCCCCUUUAAAACGUGAAGUACGCAUGCGCCACAUCCUUUCUUCCCAAGAGCGGAAGGAGCUGGUCACACAUUUUACACGUUGCAGUGUAACUUGAGGAGCCAGAUGAAGAUUGCUGCAGCCAUUGGAAGGGAUCAUGGCAUUUGCCACUGGAAAUGGGUGACAUGAGAAGUACAGAUGAAUAAAAACUGGUAAUUUUAACGUCUAAGGAUUACCACUAGAAAAAGGGUGCCCUGAGAAGUGCAGAUGAAGACCGGUUCAGGGAUUGCCACUGGAAAAGGGUGACAUGGGAAGUGCAGAUGAAUAACUGGUUCAAGGAUUGCCACUAAUGAAAUGGUGACCUGAGAACUGCAGAUAAAUGAAGAAUGUUAACUUAUUUUUGGUCUAAAGAUUACCACUAGAAAAAAAGGGAGACCAGAGAAGUGCAGAUAAAUUAAGUCUGGUUGCAUAGGUUUGCACAAAAUGCAAGAUCUGCUUGCGGGAUUCUUCCAACAUGAGGUCCCUCUGGUGCAAGGAGUCCAGGUCACGGAGAGCACAGGGAAACACCGCAUCGGGUGGAAAAACAAGCGCAGAGGCCCCUGAAUUUCCAAGACAAACUUUUUCAUUCCCAAACUCCGUAUCAUGCACCCACUGUAACAGGAGCUUGAUCCUAACAAUAAACUAGUAAUGAAGUGCUAAAAGGUAAAUGGGUUAUGAUCAAAUGUACAUUUUUAAUUUUGUAUUAAUUUGUUCAGACUUUAGAAGAAAAUUAUUUUGGGGAACUAACCAUGUUUUAGGGUGACUGAACUUUCACACAGCAGAACUGCAAUGACUGCAUCUUCCUCCAGAACUUGUGUUCUUAAACUGAGUUUAGCAUGAGCAUGGGCCAAAGCAAUCCUGCCAGAACCAAUAAACAAUGUAAUUUGUGCAUAAAUCAUUUUUGUAUGUUUGAUGUGUUGCAUAACCAAAGAGUUUUAUGUAAUUCCUAAAUAAACCUCUAAAUUUA